GUAGGGUGCAAGCGUUAAUCGGAAUUACUGGGCGUAAAGCGUGCGCAGGCGGUUAUGCAAGACAGGGGUGAAAUCCCCGGGCUCAACCUGGGAACUGCCUUUGUGACUGCAUGGCUAGAGUACGGUAGAGGGGGAUGGAAUUCCGCGUGUAGCAGUGAAAUGCGUAGAUAUGCGGAGGAACACCGAUGGCGAAGGCAAUCCCCUGGACCUGUACUGACGCUCAUGCACGAAAGCGUGGGGGGAGCAAACAGGAUUAGAUACCCUGGUAGUCCACGCCCUAAACGAUGUCAACUGGUUGUUGGGAGGGUUUCUUCUCAGUAACGUAGCUAACGCGUGAAGUUGACCGCCUGGGGAUACGGCCGCAAGGUUG
rnacentral:rRNA from 1 species